rnacentral:rRNA from 1 species
UACGGGGGGGGCAAGCGUUGUUCGGAAUUACUGGGCGUAAAGGGCGCGUAGGCGGUCUUGUCAGUCCCUUGUGAAAUCCCCCGGCUCAACUGGGGAACUGCAAGGGAAACAGCAGGGCUUGAGUUCGGGAGAGGGAAGCGGAAUUCCGGGUGUAGCGGUGAAAUGCGUAGAUAUCCGGAGGAACACCAGUGGCGAAGGCGAGUCCCUGGACAGGUCCUGACGCUGAGGCACGAAAGCUAGGGGAGCAAACAGG